UACGAAGGGGGCUAGCGUUGCUCGGAAUCACUGGGCGUAAAGCGCACGUAGGCGGAUUGCUAAGUCAGGGGUGAAAUCCUGGAGCUCAACUCCAGAACUGCCCUUGAUACUGGCGGUCUCGAGUCCGGGAGAGGUGAGUGGAACUGCGAGUGUAGAGGUGAAAUUCGUAGAUAUUCGCAAGAACACCAGUGGCGAAGGCGGCUCACUGGCCCGGUACUGGACGCUGAGGUGCGAAAGCGUGGGGAG
rnacentral:rRNA from 1 species